rnacentral:rRNA from 1 species
GACGAACGCUGGCGGCGUGCUUAACACAUGCAAGUCGAGCGGUAAGGCCCUUUCGGGGGUACGACGAGCGGCGAACGGGUGAGUAACACGUGGGUGACCUGCCCUCAGCUCUGGGAUAAGCCUGGGAAACCGGGUCUAAUACCGGAUAUGACUCCAUGACGCAUGUUGUGGGGUGGAAAGCCUUGUGCGGCUGAGGAUGGGCCCG